GAAUCGCUCCUGCAUGUAAAACAAAAUUACUAAUUAUGUACGAAGUGUGUGUGGAUAAACCGUUAGCACAUAAGCCACUCAUAAGGGUACUUUAUUGUGCUCUUCUUUUUGAGUUGAUUUCGCUCUUGUUAUUUGCGGUACAUAGCGAUAUUUGAAGUGGUCACGUGUUUGAGCUGGAAAAAAUAAUAGAAACAAGCUACGAUUUUGCGAUUUGUUUGAGUUUUUCCCCUGUUAAUUUUAAUGGGGCGCGGAGUGCACUGUUCACCUGUAGAACGAGAUAUUAUAAAAAAACUAAAAAACGAAGGAAAAAAAAUAAGGGAAAUUGCUGAACUAAUGCACUGCUCUG